AGCUGGGUGUUACCCACGUGGGUCCGAAGCUGUCGCCGACCUGCGCAGGGCUGAAGUCCUGCUGCACCGCCUCCUCGUAGGGAAGUCUCUCCGGCGUUAGGAAGCUGGAAAGUGUUACCGGGCACCUGUCCCCGAAGAGCCUGGGCGGGAAGAGCCAAUGGGCGCGUGCCUGAAGCCGCCCCCUUUCCACCCGUGAGCCAGCCGACCGGUCGGAAACGCUCUCUCAGCCUAACGCCUUGAGGACUACCUGGCAGCUCAGCAACACAUACCACCCUCUGCUCACUGCUCCCCAGCUCCUGCCUUGUCCGCGGCGGACACUUUCUUCCGCGGCCCGGGGGGCCACAAGCCUGGGUUUCCCUCCGGAAGGGAAGGAAAGAACGCGCACAUGCGGUUUGCAGCUACGCCGAAACAGGGGCCACACCUGCCGCGGAGGUUACAGUCUGUGAAGUAGAUCGGGGACACGAACUUCUCCACCCGCUCAAAAGUGGUACGCCAAUGCUUCAAAAACGGGGCUACCGCCAUGGCGAUGCGCCCACUUCUCUCCCCGGAAGAUCCUUGGUGCUGCCGGGUCGCUGCACCGCCUGGAACCAAAGGUUCCGGCAUUCGACCAGCACCUUUCCUGGCCCGAGCAGCUUUUCUUGGGACACCAGCAGCUUUUGCAAGAUGCUGACUUUGGGGAGCUAUCCUGGUAAAAACCGGAAGCUGCGCCUUCGCGGUUCUCUUCUCAUCCCAGCUGUCAGACAGCUGGGUAAAUUAUCCUUAAAUAAAAUGGUGCUCUACGAUAUAUGUACAAACCAGAUCAUGCCUACCUCCUCAGCUGGAGACCAAUCACUGCCAACUAAAAUCUGGCUCUUGAGACUAAAUCCAUCAAUAUUUGCUUUGUAUUUUAAAUUAGAGAAAUAAACUAAAUUUAUUCUUUUGUA